UACAGAGGUCUCAAGCGUUGUUCGGAUUCAUUGGGCGUAAAGGGUGCGUAGGCGGCGCGGUAAGUCGGGUGUGAAAUCUCGGGGCUUAACUCCGAAACUGCAUUCGAUACUGCCGUGCUUGAGGACUGGAGAGGAGACUGGAAUUUACGGUGUAGCGGUGAAAAUGCGUAGAGAUCAGCAGGAACACCCGUGGCGAAGGCGGCCCCCCUGGGCCGUACCUGACGCUGAGGCGCGAAGGCUAGGGGGAGCGAAACGGGG
rnacentral:rRNA from 1 species